rnacentral:rRNA from 1 species
UACGGAGGGGGCUAGCGUUGUUCGGAAUUACUGGGCGUAAAGCGCGCGUAGGCGGCUUUGUAAGUUAGAGGUGAAAGCCCGGAGCUCAACUCGGAAUUGCCUUUAAGACUGCAUCGCUAGAAUCAUGGAGAGGUGAGUGGAAUUCCGAGUGUAGAGGUGAAAUUCGUAGAUAUUCGGAAAGAACACCAGUGGCGAAGGCGACUCACUGGACAUGUAUUGACGCUGAGGUGCGAAAAGCGUGGGGAGCAAACAGG